CUGGCCCUUUAAAUGCUCUGACAAAGGAUCUGCAGUUUUGCUAUGCACUUCAGAUGCAGAGUGUGAAGAAAAACCCUGUUUUAUGGACUUAGUUUGACUGUUUUAUUCCGCUCCCUCCUAGAACACCAGUUUAAAAACCCUUAAUAACUGUCAUAUUUUCAAACGCUGUCUGUCUUUAACUGUUUGUUUUCCUCUGAGGAGGAGUUGUUUUGCUGCAUGAGGGCUGUUGCUUUGUGUGCUCAUUAAAACAGACCUGCUUGACCCUUUCUUGAAGCCUUGGCUCAUGCUUGGGGGAUGGGAUAAGUCUGCAGUGCUGAUG